UACGGAGGGAGCUAGCGUUGUUCGGAAUUACUGGGCGUGAAGCGCACGUAGGCGGCUUUGUAAGUUAGAGGUGAAAGCCCGGGGCUCAACCCCGGAAUUGCCUUUAAGACUGCAUCGCUUGAAUCCGGGAGAGGUGAGUGGAAUUCCGAGUGUAGAGGUGAAAUUCGUAGAUAUUCGGAAGAACACCAGUGGCGAAGGCAGGUCUCUGGGCUGACACUGACGCUCAUGCACGAAAGCGUGGGGAGCAAACAGG
rnacentral:rRNA from 1 species